UUCCUACCUAAGCGAUAGCCCUAGCGGCUA
rnacentral:sRNA from 1 species